AGGCCUAAUUGAAGGAAGUAGGUCACUGGGGACAUGCCCUGGAAAGGAAACCAAAAAUGAAGCAAAAUAUGGAACUUUGCCAAGGAAAACAUUUUUUUACUAUUUCAAUUACAGUUUUAAUUGGCUGGGUCUGGCGGCCAGAUUAUCCUCUAAUCUCUACAAGAAUGUUACUUGGAAAAAAAUGAAAUGUACUCUGCAUGGAGCUGCAUCCAUCCUUUCAGCACAUUCUGGCUGAAAUAACGUUCAUUCAGCAAGCUGGAAUCAUAUCGGAGAAAAAUUGGAAGUUCCUGGAAUAACUUAAUCUGUAGAUUGUAUGAAAGCUUGAUUCACUAUCAACAUAUUAUUAAAAAGUCUAAAAAAUGUAAUGUGCCUGAAUCCAAGAUAAAAGUAACAAUAUUCUGAUAUUUAUAAAGAAAAUACCUUUAAUGAA